rnacentral:misc_RNA from 1 species
AAAAGGAGGAGCACCCGACACAUGAGAUACUAUUGCAAAUUCUGCUGUUUCUAUUGCACUCUGGAACUAGAUUGAACUGUCCUCCUGUGCUCAUUGUUGACACAAUCAUAAAAUCGGCUGAGCACUUAAACCAGCAACUGAGAACUUUUUACUAUCAAUUAAAAGAAGGAACUGUCCAGUUUAAUGAGUGGAAGCUGCAGGCAGUUCGACGUCGCUGGAUUCUUCUUAAGAGAUUGAUAAUUGCUUCAAGUGGUUGUGAUGAAGGGUCCGAGCUUUCAAUUAACUACAGGAGUGGUUUCCGGUUUGCUAAUCUAGUUCCUGCUUCAGCUUGGCUGCAGAAAAUACCUGCAUUCUCAUCUUCAACUUCCCCUCUUGCCCGUUUUCUUGGCUGGAUGGCAAUAUCUCGUAAUGCUAAACAGUAUCAGAAGGAGAAACUCUUCCUUGUCUCAGAUCUUUCACAGUUGACAUAUCUCCUGUCUCUAUUUUCAGAUGAGCUUGCUGUAUUAGGCUACCUGGAGCAGAAAGAUGACAAGAAAAUUGAAGAAUGUGGUAGCAAUUCAAGUUCUAGGAAAGGGGGUGAAAGUUGUAGUCCACAGAAUGGAGAUCAGUCUUUUUCUGUUAUAUACUCGGACAUAAAUCAGUUCUUUCCCAAUUUGAAAAAAGAGUUUGAAGUUUUUGGGGAAUCUAUAUUGGAGGCUGUUGCUUUGCAAUUAAGAUCUUUUUCUUCUGCUGUUGUACCAGAUUUAUUAUGUUGGUUUUCUGAUUUUUGUUCGUGGCCUUUUGUUCGAGAAGAGAACCACCCUUUUUUUAGAAGAUCUACUGGGUUUGCAA